CCCUUUGCAGAGACUGAGUCAUCUCUCAACCUGAGGCUCAUUCAUGGAGUGUGGAGUAUCUGCAUACCACAUGCAGAACAGCGUGUCAAGAAUGGAAGAAAGAAGACAGAAGAUCGAGGGAAGUCCACUUACAUGCUCCAGAAGUUCCUGGAAUCCAGUUCCUGGCAUUUCUGUGUCCUCCCCAGUGUCAUCCCAGUGUCUACAGGACAUGUGGCACCAGGCAUUUUAACAGUAUGCAGUCAUUAAACAGAAUUCAACAGUGCACAAGUUCCUGCAACAGCCGAGACAUUUAUCACCACAGCCACGCCAGUCAAGGGAGCCCAGUCUGGGGGAUGCUGAGAAUUUCCUGCAACAUGCUGAGUGUCACCAACUCUUUCUAAAGUCACAGGAAGGCGGGAACAACAAAGAACAAAAUCAGUUCCUCUAAGAAGAAAAUGAAUAUGAGAAAACACUCGUUUACACAGACAAAUGGGAAAAAAAUCCCACAAAAGUGGGAAAGGGUAGCCAAGGAGAGAGAUUUUUAGCACCUGAGUUAUCACAACAAAAAUGUAGGUGCACGAAUCAUCUUUAAGGGGGAAGACUGAACCAUCUGCACUACCAAUAUACCUAAAUACCAAUAAUUGAAUCAGGCAGCCAGAGAACAGGGCAUAGUGCCAGUUCAUGAACAAUGUGACUGCUCAUCAUGCCUUCUCCACAUCACCAUCAGUUUGGAUGAUCUUUAUACUUCUUUAGAUUAAACCAAUUGAGACAUGUGCCUGUGGCUUUACAUUAGUAUCUACUGUUUUUCUCUCUUUCACAAGAGAUAUCUAUCAACACUAUGGAUGAGGUGAAGAUUGUUACAAGAUUCAACCUAAGCAUAAUAAUAAAAAUAAUAUUUAAUAGAAACAGGGUCUAAAUUCAGUGCGAAAGGGCUGGGGUUUUAUAUACUUUGUUUCUAUCUCACCUCAUCUAUAAUAUUCUGAAUGAGAAAUCUACUACUUUUCAGCUAGCAACCACCUAAGGGGCUAUUCCAUUAAUAAUAUAGGAAGAAUAGACACUCAAAUUAGGUACCUGUAUUUUGUGCUAAUUCUGAUUAAUGGAAGAAUUUAGAUCAGAGGAAUUCUAAUAUGUUCCAUGGAAAAACUAGAAUAAUGCAACAUUCAGUGCAAAAUAUAAAGCAGUUGGAAGUUAGGAAAUUCAGUUAAUAUUGAGAGCUCAGUCUAAACUAUGUGCUCUAUUCCAUCUCCUUUUAAAUAAUGAUCCCUCUUUAUAGAAUUAUACUGUAGCGCCCCCUCUCCACCUGGUUACCUUUUUUAAAUCCAAUCUCCUU